rnacentral:rRNA from 1 species
AGCAGCCGCGGUAAUUCCAGCUCCAAUAGCGUAUAUUAAAGUUGUUGCAGUUAAAAGGCUCGUAGUUGAAUUUCGGGGUUAGUAGGUCGGUCAUGCCACUGGUAUGUACUGGUCUCACUGAUUCCUCCUUCCUGAUGAACCGUAAUGCCAUUAAUUUGGUGUUGCGGGGAGACUGGACUGUUACUUUGAAAAAAUUAGAGUGUUUAAAGCAGGCUAACGCUUGAAUACAUUAGCAUGGAAUAAUGAAAUAGGACGUUCGAUCCUAUUUUGUUGGUUUCUAGGAUUGACGUAAUGAUUAAUAGGGAUAGUUGGGGGCAUUAGUAUUCAAUUGUCAGAGGUGAAAUUCUUGGAUUUAUUGAAGACUAACUACUGCGAAAGCAUUUGCCAAGGAUGUUUUCAUUAAUCAAGAACGAAAGUUAGGGGAUCGAAGACGAUCAGAUACCGUCGUAGUCUUAACCAUAAACUAUGCCGACUAGGGAUCGGAUGAUGUUAAUUUUUAAUGACUCAUUCGGCGCCUUAC